AUGGGGAGUCGUCGUAGCCAAAGUAAAAGUCGGUUUGCUCACCCUUUUUUCCUGGAGAUAAAAACCUCCGACUCCGUGUGCGCUUCUCUCGCAGCCGUGAUCGAUCUCCAGCAAAUCCGCGCGAUCGACAUGGAAGCCCGAACGGAUCGCCAACCACCAUCCGGCGAUCCUCCGCCGGGGCAACCUCGCUGGGUGUUGCUCCAGGGCAACAUGAUCUGCGAGGAUCCCGCCGCCAGAGCAACAACACCCAUCGCCAGCGACGAUCUCGACGCCGAGACCGUGGCGGAUGCUCUGACCUCCGGAGGCCGUAACGUCCGCGUCUCCUUCCACCUCGCGGCGCCACCGGCGGUGUCACGCCUGCGCGUCGACAUCCCCGGCCUGCCGGACGGCACCCAGCUCCUCGCGGAGAUCAUCGCGGCCAACGCGGACUCGGUCCUUAUAGAGGUCGAGACCAGCAGACCCGGCAGGUUUGAUACUGACAAACGCGACUCGUUGGACUACUUCGUCUAUAAUGCCGGCGCCGCCGCCGCCGACCCCUCCCGCCCGCCGUCGCUGUCGUUGCUGCCCCCUUACCACAAGGGGUCACCCAGGUGGAAGCGACUUAUGCCUGCAGAAACCACUGGCCUCCUGCGCCGCGGCGACGAGGACCUGCUCGUGGCGCGGCUGACCCUCAAUGGCACGGAAGGAGAGGCGCCGCUCGAGGCCGAGCUCUGCCUGCUCAGAUCCGGUGAGUGGGAGUGGAAGCUCAAGCGUCUUCCGGUCCUCCACGGCGACGGCAAGCGGAAGGAGGUGUCCUUCUGGCAGACCGACGCGGUCAUCCCCGUCGGCGACCGGUUCCUGUACUGGGUGGACUACUACCGCGGCAUCAUCUUCUCGGACGCGUGGGAGGAGACGCCCCAGCUGCGAUACGUGUCUCUUCCCGUGGAGCCCUUGGAAAGCCGACCGGACGACCACGACGGCGGCUCGAGCUACCGCGGCGUGUGCGCAACGGACGGCGGUGGAGCAGUGAGUUUCGUGGAAGUCUUUCCCCGCUGCUGCUGCGGCUGCCCGGGCGCGACCUUCUGCUCGCGCUCCCGCUACGCCUUUAACAUAACCACGUGGGCGCUGAGGAUGGACGAUGACUUGGCAACGUGGGACAAGGUCGGCGUGGUUGACUCCGACGAGCUCUGGUCGCUCCCCGGCUACAGCGGCGUCGUGCCACGCAUCACGCCGGAGUACCCCAUCGUCAGCCUGGACGACCCCGAUGUCCUCUGUUUCAUGGUGCACAAGCUCCCAUACCAUAUGGAGGACGUUGACGGCGACCAUGCGAUACGGAUGAUCGAGGUGGACACGAAUCGCAUGGAGCUGCGAUCCGUCGUCUGUUACGACGAGCACGACGACGGUUUCUGCUCUCCUCCCGAGUUCUUUCCCUGCAUGAUCUCCCGGUACUUCGACGCCUCCUCUCGCAGCUGCCGUCCUCCAGCAAAGCUCCAUGAGCAAGCACCGAUGGCGGCAGCGGCAACAAUUAUUAAUGAACUCAACUCAUCGGAUAACAAGGCGGCCAUGGCUUCUCCUGGGGAGAUGUUGGCGACACUCCGGGAGAUAGGUGACCUGGAGCGUGAUGACAUGCUGAGAACGUAUAGCGUUCUUGUGUGUGAUGGGAGCCAGUUCAAGUUCAGGUCACUUUUGGCGCUUCCCAAGGACAUGAGGAAAGAUUACUGCCUGCUGCUCAUGGAAAAUCGUCUUUAG
rnacentral:rRNA from 1 species